GCCCUGGUAGCUCAUCCGGUAGAGCACAUGCCACAUAAGGCCAGGCCGUACCUGGUUCGAAUCCAGCCUGGGCCC